UACGUAGGGGGCAAGCGUUGUCCGGAAUCAUUGGGCGUAAAGAGCGCGUAGGCGGUCCGGUAAGUCCGCUCUGAAAGUCCGGGGCUCAACCCCGGGAGGCGGGCGGAUACUGUCGGGCUAGAGUCCGGAAGAGGCGAGUGGAAUUCCAGGUGUAGCGGUGAAAUGCGUAGAUAUCUGGAGGAAUACCGGUGGCGAAGGCGGCAUCCUGGACCGACAUUGACGCUGAGGAGCGAAAGCUAGGGGAGCAAACGGG
rnacentral:rRNA from 1 species